UACGUAGGGUGCGAGCGUUGUCCGGAAUUAUUGGGCGUAAAGAGCUUGUAGGUGGUUUGUCGCGUCUGCUGUGAAAAUCCGAGGCUCAACCUCGGACUUGCAGUGGGUACGGGCAGACUAGAGUGUGGUAGGGGAGACUGGAAUUCCUGGUGUAGCGGUGGAAUGCGCAGAUAUCAGGAGGAACACCGAUGGCGAAGGCAGGUCUCUGGGCCAUUACUGACACUGGAGAAGCGGAAAGCAUGGGGAGCGAACAGGA
rnacentral:rRNA from 1 species